GUUCAUUUUGGCUUUCAAGCUAGAGUUGUCAUGCAAGAAGAAUACACUAAUUUCGUAUUUUCUCAUCUCCUUCUUUUGGGGAUAAGCAUUUGGGCUUUCUGCUGUUUAUUAUUUCAAAGGCAUCUAUAUGCUAAUACAUUUUAUGCUAAUUAUUUUCAUGUUUGCCCCUCAGGUCAUGCUUCGCAUCACCCACCAGGGAGGAUCAUCUCUCAUGAAAACUUUCAAAUUUGAUUUUGAAAAUUUAUUCAGAAAAAUUUAAGCCAUGCUUUUUCCCAACACAAGAAAUAAUAUGCUCCAGAGAACCCUCUAAUUCACAGAAAAUGGACCUGGAUGACAUUUGGGUCCUCAUACUACCACAGUCCUCUUGAGAAGGACAGCCAGGAGGCUAAUAAUGAAGGGCCAGGGAAGGAGGCCAAUGCUACAAGGGUUAUCUCACAACCUCAGAUGGUGGAUAAGUCGAAGGAGGCAGAAUCGCUUCUGGAUGACAUUCAGAAAGGCUGGAGUGAUUAUUUGGAAAAGAAAACCCUGCUUUUUCUUUCAAAGGUACAUGAAUAUUAUUGAGACCUGCCCUUCUAAUGGUACGUCCUUAGAAUCCUGCCUUAGACAAAGGAUACACUCGGAGCCUUGCUGCACCUAAAACCACGUUUUGAAAGAUCUGCCAAGUUCACUUUUAAUCAUGAGAAAGAAAUUACCCACAUGGAGACAGCAGAAAAUGAGAAAGUAGAGCUCGUGCUGCGAAUAAUUCCAGAGAGUGCCAAGGGGCUAGUUGAGGAAUGGCUUCAUGAGGUGAAUAUCUUUAGCUUGUACUUAGGGUUUGGUUAGCGUAUAAUCAUCUCUCUUUUAGGAGCGAAUACGAUCCUAAGUGUACUUCCAUCCAAGAAAUGCUCUGGGCAUUUGUGAGAUGUUGACAGAUUUAAUAUCAGCCUCACCCUUGCUGUUAUUUAUGAUGACUAAUUCUACAUUUAUAAAUAUGCAGAGAUCAAUUUAGGUGGAAAGGCUCUCUGAGCCCAUGUCUGUCACCAGCUGUCUGUCUUUAUGUGCAGGUGUUGUGCUGUGUGGCUUGCCCAGUAAUUUAUGUCUCUGUGUAUGUGUGCAUUCCUCUUGUUGUCUCUGCUCUGUUGUGAAUGUUUAUUGGGAGAAUUAGCCAAAUGAUAGGUUCCCAAAAAAUGGGACCCAAGACUUCCAUUUGAGUUUUGGAACA